rnacentral:rRNA from 1 species
AUCGUAACUCCUACGGGAGGCAGCAGUGGGGAAUAUUGCUCAAUGGGCGCAAGCCUGAUGCAGCGACGCCGCGUGGGGGAUGACGGCCUUCGGGUUGUAAACUCCUUUCGCUAGGGACGAAGCUUUUUGUGACGGUACCUAGAUAAGAAGCACCGGCUAACUACGUGCCAGCAGCCGCGGUAAUACGUAGGGUGCGAGCGUUGUCCGGAAUUACUGGGCGUAAAGGGCUCGUAGGUGGUUUGUCGCGUCGUCUGUGAAAUUCCGGGGCUUAACUCCGGGCGUGCAGGCGAUACGGGCAUAACUUGAGUACUGUAGGGGUAACUGGAAUUCCUGGUGUAGCGGUGAAAUGCGCAGAUAUCAGGAGGAACACCGGUGGCGAAGGCGGGUCUCUGGGCUGUUACUGACGCUGAGGAGCGAAAGCGUGGGGAGCGAACAGGAUUAGAAACCCGAGUAGUCAUAGAGC